rnacentral:misc_RNA from 1 species
GAUGAAGAACGUAGCGAAAUGCGAUACUUGGUGUGAAUUGCAGAAUCCCGUGAACCAUCGAGUCUUUGAACGCAAGUUGCGCCCGAAGCCAUCAGGUUGAGGGCACGUCUGCCUGGGCGUCACAUAUCGUUGCCCAAUGCCUAUUGCAGUGCAAUAGGAAUUUCUAGGGCGAAUGAUGGCUUCCCGUGAGCGUUGUUGCCUCGCGGUUGGUUGAAAAUCGAGUCCUUGGUAGGGUGUGCCAUGGUAGAUGGUGGUCGAGUUAGAACGAUACCGAUCAUGUGCAUGCUCCCCAAAAUAUGGCCUCUAUGACCCACACGCGUCUUUUGACGCUCAUCACGAGACCUCAGGUCAGGCGGGGCUAACCGCUGAAUUUAAGCAUAUCAAUAAGCGGAGGA